rnacentral:rRNA from 1 species
AGGGGGCAACUUCUUGGUUGGGUGGCGGACGGGUGAGUAACACGUGGGUAACCUGCCCGGAAGUGGGGAAUACCUUGGGGAAACUCGAGCUAAUUCCGCAUAACAUCCUUCCUUUGAAGAGGCGGAGAUCAAAGAUGGGGAUCGCAAGACCUAGCGCUGGAAGAGGGGCCCGCGUCUGAUUAGCUAGUUGGUGGGGUAAUGGCUCACCAAGGCAACGAUCAGUAUCCGGCCUGAGAGGGCGGUCGGACACACUGGGACUGAGACACGGCCCAGACUCCUACGGGAGGCAGCAGUGGGGAAUUGUUCGCAAUGGGCGCAAGCCUGACGCAGCAACGCCGCGUGGAGGAUGAAGACCUUCGGG